rnacentral:rRNA from 1 species
CACCGAGGGAACUGAAACAUCUCAGUACCUCGAGGAACAGAGAGGAUUCCCUUAGUAGCGGCGAGCGAACGGGGAGGAGCCCAAACCCGACUGGCGCUAUAGCCUGCCGGCGAUGCCAGUGGGGGGUUGAACGAGUGGGCUGGAGGGGGCGGCAGCCGCCUCGCGGCACCCACAUCCGUGAGCCGAAGACCGCUGGAACGGGUCACCGCAGGGGGUGAGAGUCCCGUAGGCGACCGCGGAUGCCGGGCUGUGAGCCCAGAUCGUGAGUACCGCCGGACACGUGACAUCCGGCGGGAAGCAGGGGCGACCACGCCCCAAGGCUACAUACCGCCAACGACCGAUAGUGCACCAGUACCGUGAGGGAACGGUGAAAAGCACCCCGGUGAGGGGAGUGAAACAGAUCCUGAAACCAUGCGCUUCCGGCCGGUCGGAGCAGGGCGUGUCCCUGUGACGGCGUGCCUUUUGUAGAAUGAGCCGACGAGUGAGCCCAGGCGGCGAGGCUAAGCCAGGGACAGGCGGAGCCGGAGCGAACGCGAGUCCGAAAGGGCGAGGAGUCGUCUGGGAACGACCCGAAACCGGGUGAUCUACCCGUGGCCAGGCUGAAGCGGGCGGAACACGCCUGUGGAGGGCCGAACCGAGAUCUGUUGCAAAAGGUCCGGAUGAGCUGCGGGUAGCGGUGAAAUGCCAAGCGAACCCGGAGAUAGCUGGUUCUCCCCGAAAUGCAUUUAGGUGCAGCCCCCCCGUGGGGCGCCGCGGAGGUAUCGCGCUGGAUCGGCGAGGGGGCUUCCCGCUUACCGACCCGAACCAAACGACGAAUGCCGCGGAUUCUGGUCGAGCGUUGGCUUGACCACGCGGGCGGGGGGUGUGAGACGGCGGGUGCGAAGAUUCGUCGUCGAGAGGGAAACAGCCCAGACCGCCGGCUAAGGUCCCUAACUACGGGCUCAGUGGGCAAGGUGGUCGCGGCGCGCAGACAACCAGGAGGUUGGCUUAGAAGCAGCCAUCCUUGAAAGAGUGCGUAAUAGCUCACUGGUCGACUGUGCCGCGGCGCCGACAAUCCACCGGGGCUCAAGCCCGUGACCGAAGCCGCGGAUGGCGCAAGCCAUGGUAGGGGAGCGUCCCCGUCAGCAGAGAAGCCGAGGCGGGAGCCGAGGUGGAGCGGCGGGGAGUGCGAAUGUCGGCAUGAGUAGCGCGAGGGGGGUGCGAAUCCCCCCCACCGAAUGCCCAAGGGUUCCGCAGCCAUGCUGAUCAGCUGCGGGUGAGGCGGGCCUAAGCCGAGGGCUAGCGCCGUAGGCGAUGGACAACGGGUCAAGAUUCCCGUUCCGCGCACGACCGUUAUGAGCGAUGGGGGGACGCGGGGGGCUAGGUCCCGGGCGCGCAAGCGCCUCCAACCCGGUAGGGAGUCGUGCCAGGCAAAUCCGGCACGGCGUUGACCUGAGAGGGGAGUGUAAGGGGAGGGGGCAACCCCGAACCGUAGGGAUUGAGGCCGUACCGCCAAGAAAAGCCUCUAGCCAGGGCGGGCGCGACCGUACCGCAAACCGACACAGGUGGGCUGGUCGAGUAGACCAAGGUGGACGAGAGACCCGCUGUCAAGGAACUCGGCAAAUUGGCCCCGUAACUUCGGGAGAAGGGGCGCCCCGUGUAGCGUGAACGGGUUUACCCCGGGAGCGUGAGGGGGCCGCAGUGACCAGGCCCAGGCGUCUGUUUACCAAAAACACCGGUCCCUGCCAACGCGGCAAGCGUGGACGUAUAGGGGCUGAGACCUGCCCAGUGCCGGAAGGUUAAGGGGAGCUGUUCACGCGGCGAACCGAAGCCCCGGUAAACGGCGGCCGUAACUAUAACGGUCCUAAGGUAGCGAAAUUCCUUGUCGGGUAAGUUCCGACCCGCACGAAAGGUAGAACGAUCUGGGCGCUGUCUCGACAGCGGACUCGGCGAAAUUGGAAUGACGGUGAAGAUACCGUCGACCCGUGGCAGGACAAAAAGACCCCGUGGAGCUUUACUCCAACUUGUCGUUGGGCGAGGGCGCGGCUUGUGUAGGAUAGGUGGGAGCCGGAGAACCCGGGGCGCCAGCCCUGGGGGAGGCGACGUUGAAAUACCACCCUGGCGGCGCCGUCGUUCUCACUGCUCGCAGUAAUCCUGGAGCAGGACCGCGGCUGGUGGGGAGUUUGACUGGGGCGGUCGCCUCCCAAAGCGUAACGGAGGCGCCCAAUGGUUCCCUCAGGCCGGAUGGCAAUCGGCCGGAGCGCGCAAGGGCAGCACGGGAGCUUGACUGCGAGGCGGACAGGCCGAGCAGGGACGAAAGUCGGGCCUAGUGAUCCCACGGUGCCUGGUGGACGGGCCGUGGCUUAACGGAUAAAAGCUACCCCGGGGAUAACAGGCUGAUCCUGCCCAAGAGUCCACAUCGACGGCAGGGUUUGGCACCUCGAUGUCGGCUCGUCGCAUCCUGGGGCUGGAGAAGGUCC